rnacentral:misc_RNA from 1 species
GAUUGGCCUCACGGCCGUUUUUAUAACCCACACACACCGUGAACCGUUCCGUCGUCUCUCGGGACGGCGGCUUACCACCUUAAACAAUGUAUACCUGAACGUAAAAUAUCGUAAACAAAACAAAACUUUCAACAACGGAUCUCUUGGCUCU